UGAGGAAUAUUGGGCAAUGCCCGAAAGGGUGACCCAGCAACGCCGCGUGGAGGAUGAAGGUCGUAAGAUUGUAAACUCCUGUUAGAGGGGAAGAAUAACUAAGUUUGGAGUUUAGUAUGACUGUACCCUCAGAGAAAGCCCCGGCUAACUACGUGCCAGCAGCCGCGGUAAUACGUAGGGGGCAAGCGUUGUCCGGAUUUACUGGGUGUAAAGGGCGCGCAGGCGGAAUGGAAAGUCAGUGGUGAAAUCCUACAGCUUAACUGUAGAACUGCCUUUGAUACUCUCAUUCUUGAGUUCGGGAGAGAGAGACGGAAUUCCAGGUGUAGUGGUGAAAUACGUAGAUAUCUGGAAGAACACCAGUUGCGAAGGCGGUCUCUUGGUCCGAUACUGACGCUGAGGCGCGAAAGCGUGGGGAGCAAACA
rnacentral:rRNA from 1 species